CCUACGGGAGGCAGCAGUGAGGAAUAUUGGUCAAUGGACGAGAGUCUGAACCAGCCAAGUAGCGUGAAGGAUGACUGCCCUAUGGGUUGUAAACUUCUUUUAUAUGGGAAUAAAAUGUUCCACGUGUGGGAUUUUGUAUGUACCAUAUGAAUAAGGAUCGGCUAACUCCGUGCCAGCAGCCUCGGUAAUACGGAGGAUCCGAGCGUUAUCCGGAUUUAUUGGGUUUAAAGGGAGCGUAGGUGGAUUGUUAAGUCAGUUGUGAAAGUUUGCGGCUCAACCGUAAAAUUGCAGUUGAAACUGGCAGUCUUGAGUACAGUAGAGGUGGGCGGAAUUCGUGGUGUAGCGGUGAAAUGCUUAGAUAUCACGAAGAACUCCGAUUGCGAAGGCAGUUCACUGGACUGCAACUGACACUGAGGCUCGAAAGUGUGGGUAUCAAACAGGAUUAGAUACCCCUGUAGUC
rnacentral:rRNA from 1 species